GUUCUCCUCGCUUUGGCAGCACAUAUACCAAAAUUGGAACAAUACAGAGUAGUGUGGUCCGGCACAAGAAUGACACACACAUUUGUGAAGCAUCCCAUAUUUUU